UACGUAGGGUGCAAGCGUUGUCCGGAAUUAUUGGGCGUAAAGAGCUCGUAGGCGGUCUGUCGCGUCGGAUGUGAAAACCCAGGGCUCAACCCUGGGCCUGCAUUCGAUACGGGCAGACUAGAGUUCGGUAGGGGAGACUGGAAUUCCUGGUGUAGCGGUGAAAUGCGCAGAUAUCAGGAGGAACACCGGUGGCGAAGGCGGGUCUCUGGGCCGGUACUGACGCUGAGGCGCGAAAGCGUGGGGAGCGAACAGG
rnacentral:rRNA from 1 species